GCAGCCGUGGCCUACUGGUUAGUGCUUCGGACUUGUAAGCGCAGGGUUGCCGGUUCGAACCCGACUGGUAGGC
rnacentral:tRNA from 1 species